rnacentral:lncRNA from 1 species
GAGAAAUUAUGACCGAGAGCCUGACACCUGAUGCUAGCGGCUUUUGUCUCGCCAAGUUGACCCAGUAUUUGGCCACCUUGUGCGGCGGGUGACUAUGGUGUCCAGGUAAUAUGACAUCUGGUGCUUGUGUAGCUUUAGGUUUGCCCUGCAUUAAUGCUGCCAGCUCAAGUGGACCCUGAGUUAUUGCUAUUAUCUUUCUUAUACUACAGUGGAAACAUGUAGGACAGUGGAAACCUGUCAAGGAAGGGAGCCUAAGAGGUCCAAAAAGGUAUAUAUAUGUAUUACCUGAAAGCCCAGGGCAGUUGUUGCCUUGGGUCAUGCAGAGAAUAUGCAGCCACACCCAUGCCUUAGAUGUGUGUAAUUCAAGUGGAGAAGACACAAGCCAGUGGUCGCAAUAUCAACACUUGAGUGUUCUGUAAACGAUUAAUGUUUGCCAUGUGCAAGGAAAUGGCAGAGGCAAAAUGCUGGCGGCUUAUGGAAAAAUAAUUUAUAAAAAAAUGAUGGGUUAGUUCUGCCAAAUUUGAGAUUGGUGUCAGCAGAAAACCAACAGUGAUGUGGUGGCACACAGUGAACUGACAGGACCCAGGCAGCAGCGGUUCUUUUGGUGGCAAUGGUGCCAUGUCAUGGGUACUCUCCUUGCUGAUGGCAGAUACCGACAGGCAAACUGUUGCCUUGCGUUUAGCUCUGUUAACCAUUGACAGUAAGAUUUAUCAGAGGUUGCAGCUGCACAUGGCCAUGAGGUAAACCUUGCCCCUGUUUGAAAUUGAGUUUCAUCAGCUUCUACAUGGGAUUAUAAGGACUUGGAAUAUAUCACAGACCCAGCAGGGUUUCCCCCCUCAUUUUUUUUUUUUAAGAUUUAUUUUUCUUCCUAAAGAUAACAUGCUUAAACAAAGUUCUUUAUGGUUAGUAACUGUGAUGCUUGAAGUUGGUUAUCCCUUACUCCAGUAAAUUUUAAAUGUCAAAGAUAUCUUGUUAAAUAAAAAAAAAACUAUCAAAA